UACGUAGGGUGCGAGCGUUGUCCGGAAUUAUUGGGCGUAAAGAGCUCGUAGGCGGUUUGUCACGUCGGAUGUGAAAUCCCGGGGCUUAACUCCGGGCCUGCAUUCGAUACGGGCUGACUAGAGUUCGGCAGGGGAGACUGGAAUUCCUGGUGUAGCGGUGAAAUGCGCAGAUACCAGGAGGAACACCGGUGGCGAAGGCGGGUCUCUGGGCAGUAACUGACGCUGAGGAGCGAAAGCGUGGGGAGCGAACAGG
rnacentral:rRNA from 1 species